GACGAACGCUGGCGGCGUGCCUAAUACAUGCAUGUAGAACGCUGAAGCUUGGUGCUUGCACCGAGCGGCUGAGUUGCGAACGGGUGAGUAACGCGUAGGUAACCUGCCUGGUAGCGGGGGAUAACUAUUGGAAAAGAUAGCUAAUACCGCAUAAGAGUAGAUGUUGCAUGACAUUUGCUUAAAAGGUGCAAUUGCAUCACUACCAGAUGGACCUGCGUUGUAUUAGCUAGUUGGUGAGGUAACGGCUCACCAAGGCAACGAUACAGAGCCGACCUGAGAGGGUGAUCGGCCAGACUGGGACUGAGACACGGCCCAGACUCCUACGGGAGGCAGCAGGAGGGAAUCUUCGGCAAUAGACGGAAGUCUGACCGAGCAACGCCGCGGGAGUGAAGAAGGUUGUCGGAUCGGAAAGCUCUGUUGUAAGAGAAGAACGAGUGUGAGGGUGGAAAGUUCACACUGUGACGGUAUCUGACCAGAAAGGGACGGCUAACUACGUG
rnacentral:rRNA from 1 species